UGAAUUAUUGUUUGGUAUUGAAUUCCAGGAAAGACCCUUUGUUGAAUGGUCAGAGUCCAUUAGAUUAACGAUUGGAGAUAUUUUCUUUGAUUUAAUUGUGAAGAACACGAAGUUUGAUUCAAACAUAACAAUUGAUGGACCAAAGAAAAUGACUGAUGCUUUCUUUCUUGUGGAGAGGUCAAGAGAUGGUACUCGUAACUUAGAAGUCAGGGU